rnacentral:rRNA from 1 species
GAUGAACGCUGGCGGCGUGCCUAAUACAUGCAAGUCGAGCGAACGGACGAGAAGCUUGCUUCUCUGAUGUUAGCGGCGGACGGGUGAGUAACACGUGGAUAACCUACCUAUAAGACUGGGAUAACUUCGGGAAACCGUAGCUAAUACCGGAUAAUAUUUUGAACCGCAUGGUUCAAAAGUGAAAGACGGUCUUGCUGUCACUUAUAGAUGGAUCCGCGCUGCAUUAGCUAGUUGGUAAGGUAACGGCUUACCAAGGCAACGAUGCAUAGCCGACCUGAGAGGGUGAUCGGCCACACUGGAACUGAGACACGGUCCAGACUCCUACGGGAGGCAGCAGUAGGGAAUCUUCCGCAAUGGGCGAAAGCCUGACGGAGCAACGCCGCGUGAGUGAUGAAGGUCUUCGGAUCGUAAAACUCUGUUAUUAGGGAAGAACAUAUGUGUAAAUAACUGUGCACAUCUUGACGGUACCUAAUCAGAAAGCCACGGCUAACUACGUG